rnacentral:rRNA from 1 species
GUUUGAUCCUGGCUCAGAACGAACGCUGGCGGCGGGGUUUAGGCAUGCAAGUCGAGCGAGAAAGCCGAAAGGCAAGUAACGCGGCGUAAGGGUGAGUAAUGGUUAGUCAACGUACCGAGCAGACGCGAAUAAUUUCUCGAAAGGGAUUGUAAUGCGCGAUGAGACCACAUGGCCUACGGGCUGAGAGGUCAAAGGUCGGGGAUCCUUCGGGACCUGGCGCUGUUUGAGCGGACUAACUCUGAUUAGCUAGUUGGCGGGGUAACGGCCCACCAAGGCGAUGAUCAGUAGCCGGUCUGAGAGGAUGUCCGGCCACACUGGGACUGAGACACUGCCCAGACUCCUACGGGAGGCUGCAGUCGCGAAUCAUUCACAAUGGGCGCAAGCCUGAUGAUGCCACGCCGCGUGCGGGAUGAAGGCCCUCUGGGUUGUAAACCGCUGUCAAGGGAGGGGAAACGUAUGGUGUUAACAGCGCCAUGCUUGACUGCUCCCUAAAGGAAGCCCCGGCAAAACAUGUGCCAGCAGCCGCGGUAAUACAUGUGGGGCAAGCGUUGUUCGGAAUUACUGGGCAUAAAGGGUGCGUAGGUGGCUUGUUAAGUCACGGGUGAAAGUUUUCGGCCCAACCGGAAAAUGGCCUGUGAUACUGGCGAGCUUGAGUGCGUGAGGGGUAACCGGAACGAGCAGUGUAGCGGUGAAAUGCGUAGAUAUUGCUCGGAAGGCCAGAGGCGAAGGCGGGUUACUGGUACGCAACUGACACUGAGGCACGAAAGCGUGGGGAGCAAACAGGAUUAGAUACCCUGGUAGUCC